UUACACAUGCAAGUCGAGCGGUAAGGCCCUUCGGGGUACACGAGCGGCGAACGGGUGAGUAACACGUGAGCAACCUGCCCCUGACUCCGGGAUAAGCGGUGGAAACGCCGUCUAAUACCGGAUACGACCCGCCACCUCAUGGUGGAGGGUGGUAAGUUUUUCGGUCAGGGAUGCGCUCGCGGCCUAUCAGCUUGUUGGUGGGGUAACGGCCUACCAAGGCGAUUACGGGUAGCCGGCCUGAGAGGGCGACCGGCCACACUGGGACUGAGACACGGCCCAGACUCCUGCGGGAGGCAGCAGUGGGGAAUAUUGCGCAAUGGGCGAAAGCCUGACGCAGCGACGCCGCGUGGGCGAUGACGGCCUUCGGGUUGUAAACCUCUUUUACCACCAACGCAGGCUCCCAGUUCUCUGGGGGUUGACGGUAGGUGGGGAAUAAGGACCGGCUAACUACGUGCCAGCAGCCGCGGUAAUACGAAGGGUCCGAGCGUUGUCCGGAAUUAUAGGGCGUAAAGAGCUCGUAGGCGGCGUGUCGCGUCUGCUGUGAAAGACCGGGGCUUAACUCCGGUUCUGCAGUGGAUACGGGCAUGCUAGAGGAAGGUAGGGGAGACUGGAAUUCCUGGUGUAGCGGUGAAAUGCGCAGAUAUCAGGAGGAACACCGGUGGCGAAGGCGGGUCUCUGGGCCUUACCUGACGCUGAGGAGCGAAAGCAUGGGGAGCGAACAGGAUUAGAUACCCUGGUAGUCCAUGCCGUAAACGUUGGGCGCUAGGUGUGGGGACUUUCCACGGUUUCCGCGCCGUAGCUAACGCAUUAAGCGCCCCGCCUGGGGAGUACGGCCGCAAGGCUAAAACUCAAAGGAAUAGACGGGGGCCCGCACAAGCGGCGGAGCAUGUUGCUUAAUUCGACGCAACGCGAAGAACCUUACCAAGCUUUGACAUCACCCGUGGACUCGCAGAGAUGUGAGGUCAUUUAGUUGGCGGGUGA
rnacentral:rRNA from 1 species